rnacentral:ncRNA from 1 species
AAUGGUGCGCUGCGAGAGCGAGAAUAGGGAAUACGGGUGAAAGUCCCGAACAGUCCUUGCUGCCGUGACGGUGAGCUUUAGGCAUAAUGCCACUGAAGAAAUUCGGGAAGGCGCCGAAAGCGAUGAACCGAAGUCGGAAGACCUGCCUUUGGUUAU